UACAUUUUAAAAUGGUUAAAAUGGUAAAUUUUAUGUUAUAUACAUUUUACCACAAUGAACAAAUUUUUUAAUUCAUUUAUUUCUUUUUAUUUUUAAAAACUAUAGCCACUGCCAAGGUACAGCUCGAGCCAUUGCUUCAGAGCGUGCAAAAUUUAAAUUACAUAUGUGGCUUUCCACCUUGGGCCUGACAAGUAGCAAGAAGAAGAAGGUCCAUUCUACCAUGAAUGAGGUGGUGACCCAAGAACACAUCAUCGACAUUCACAGGGGCACCUGGGGAGUGAACUUCAAAAAGCAUGCGCCUCCAGAACUCAGAGAAAUCUGGAAAUUUGCCAUGAAGGAGGUCAGCAGUGAAAAUCAAGACAAAGGACCUUAGGAAGAGAGGAACAGAAUAUCUCGGUCAUCUAAAAGAGCGAUCCUGCCCCAGUGGCUACUGAGAAGGCACUAACUGGCUACCUAUUGACAGGACCCCAGACAGAAAGUCAGGGACCCCGGUGAGAGUCAUGUACGUUGUACCAGCCCUUUUGAACUCCUGGCCUCAAGCAAUCCUCCUGCCUCAGCCUCCCAAGUAGUUGGGAUUACAGGUAUGAGCCACUAUGCCCGGUGGAAUUAGAUACUCUUACACUUUGCUGAUAUGAGCGUAAACUAGUCCUUAUCCUUCAAUGAGAUGGGAAGGUAUGCAAUUUGGUGAUAGACAUAAAAAUUACAGAUAUAUGUAUCCUUGAAUACAGUAAUUCCAUUUCUAUUAUACAAUAUGUUAACAUAUAGGAACACAUGCUACACAGGAAUAUUACUCAACUUUAAAAAGGAAUGAAAUUUUGAUACAUAGUACAACAUGGAUAAAUUUUGGCUGAGUGAAAUAAGCUAUAUAUGGUGUAUAAAUAAGUGACUAAGUGUAAUAAUAGGCCAACACAAACAAAAAUAUUGUAUUCUCUCACUUAUAGGAAGUACCUAGAAUGGUUAAAUUCAUUGAGACAGAAAGUAGGAUUGUCGUUGCUAGGGGCCGUAGGG
rnacentral:lncRNA from 1 species